AUUGAACGCUGGCGGCAUGCUUUACACAUGCAAGUCGAACGGUAACGCGGGGCAACCUGGCGACGAGUGGCGAACGGGUGAGUAAUGCAUCGGAACGUGCCCGGUAGUGGGGGAUAACUGCUCGAAAGAGCAGCUAAUACCGCAUACGACCUGAGGGUGAAAGGGGGGGAUCGCAAGACCUCUCGCUAUUGGAGCGGCCGAUGUCGGAUUAGCUAGUGGGUGGGGUAAGGGCCCACCAAGGCGACGAUCCGUAGCUGGUCUGAGAGGACGACCAGCCACACUGGGACUGAGACACGGCCCAGACUCCUACGGGAGGCAGCAGUGGGGAAUUUUGGACAAUGGACGCAAGUCUGAUCCAGCCAUGCCGCGUGCGGGAAGAAGGCCUUCGGGUUGUAAACCGCUUUUGUCAGGGAAGAAACGCUCUGGGUUAAUACCUCGGGGUAAUGACGGUACCUGAAGAAUAAGCACCGGCUAACUACGUGCCAGCAGCCGCCGUAAGAC
rnacentral:rRNA from 1 species